rnacentral:rRNA from 1 species
UAGGGAAUCUUCGGCAAUGGACGAAAGUCUGACCGAGCAACGCCGCGUGAGUGAAGAAGGUUUUCGGAUCGUGAAACUCUGUUGUUAGAGAAGAACAAGGACGUUAGUAACUGAACGUCCCCUGACGGUAUCUAACCAGAAAGCCACGGCUAACUACGUGCCAGCAGCCGCGGUAAUACGUAGGUGGCAAGCGUUGUCCGGAUUUAUUGGGCGUAAAGCGAGCGCAGGCGGUUUCUUAAGUCUGAUGUGAAAGCCCCCGGCUCAACCGGGGAGGGUCAUUGGAAACUGGGAGGCUUGAGUGCAGAAGAGGAGAGUGGAAUUCCAUGUGUAGCGGUGAAAUGCGUAGAUAUAUGGAGGAACACCAGUGGCGAAGGCGGCUCUCUGGUCUGUAACUGACGCUGAGGCUCGAAAGCGUGGGGAGCAAACAGG